GCUUACGGCCAUACCAGCCUGGCCAUGCCCGAUCGCGUCUGAUCUUGGAAGUUAAGCAGGUUUGGGCCUGGUUAGUACUUGGAUGGGAGACCGCCUGGGAAUACCAGGUGCUGUAAGCA
ensembl:rRNA 5S_rRNA 5S ribosomal RNA